UUCAUCUUGUUAUGAUUCUAGGUGACAAUCAUUUUUAUAUUUUAACUUCACUACUAAGAAGCCUACUUUAAAAUAAGGCAGUUUAUUUUUUCUUGAAUAGUGUGAUGCCCUAUGUAUAGCUGUAGUGAAAUCAAUAUGAUUAUCAAGAGACAUGAAGACAAGAGCUCUAACCUAGGGAGAAAGAGCAAUGGUGGAUGGUGAGCUCCAUUCUAGUGAAGGUAAGAAGUGCUUGAAAAUAAAGUAAGAGUUCAGAAGGGAGAAAAUAAGAACUGAUGAGGGAUUGAAGAGCAGUGAGAGACCAAGUGGUGGCAAGAUAAGGAAACACCUCAUUGGGCUAUAGAAUUGGAAUUAGUUCAAUACACCUUGCCAGCCCUUGAGAGAAGCCCUGAGUCAGCCCUAGAGAUAUGAAACGGUGCUCUGCUUGUGGGUCAGUUAGUGAACAGGCAAGCUAAAAGUCUCUCAAAUAUUUUACUACAAUAGCACACUAAUUUCUGACCUUGAAUUAAGAAGAAAAGUUCAUACAAUAGUUUGGGUCUUGAAUAUUGCCUCAGAGCCCACAAGCUAAAGCCUUCAUCUCCUGGGUGAGGCUAUUGGGAGGCAGUGGAAUCUAUGAGAAGUAAGGUCUGAAAGGAGGUCUUUGGGUCACUGGAGAUGUACUCUGGAAGGGAUUGUGGAACCUUGUCCUUUUUUCUUCUUCCUGUUUUUAUGGUAAAAGUUUUAUUGGCCCACUUUAAUUGUACCUACUAAGAUUCAGUGCAUAUAUGCAGUGAUCAUAUCCAACCUUUCUCCCACACUACUUUGCCUCUGGAACCCUUCCCAGUCCCCAGUAACCAUAACCCUAACCCUACUCUACUUUCAGAUUGAUUUUAUUUUUUUCCACGCAUGAGAAACAACAUGUGACUCAUGUCUUUCUAUGUUUGGCUUAUUUUGCUUAACAUAAUGUCUUCUAGUUCUGUCCAUUUUGCUUCAAAUGACUGGAUUUUAUUUUUCUUUAUGGUUGAAUUAUGCUCCAUGUGUUUACAUAUAUAUAUAUAUUUUUCUUUUUUCUUGUCCAUUCAUCUAUUGAUGGACACCCAGGCUGAUUCCAUUUCUUAACUAUCAUAAUUAGUGCCACAAUACACAGGACAUGCCAGUAUCUCUUUUGUAUGCUGACUUGAUUUUCUAUGGAUAUGCGCCCAAGGGCACUGUCUUAGUUAUUUUUUCACUGCUGGGGCAACAUAUUCAACACUCACAAGUUAAAGGAGGAAAGGUUUAUUUUGGCUCACAGUUUGUAGAGGUUUCAGUCCAUAGUCAGUUGGCUACAAGGCAAGACAGCAUGGCAGAGGGGCAUCACCAAGGAGAAAGUCUGUGGUGUGGCAGGCAGAAGGCAGCAAGCAGCAAGCAAUGAACCUGCCUUUCCCUUUUCUCCCAUCCAAGCUAACAAGCCUUUGGGGCGAUGCCACCCACACCCAGAACUAUGAUAAACCAAUUAGCUGAUUAAUAGGUAGCACACACCCUAAUCUCAGUAUCACACCCUUAAUCCACAUUCACACACUGUAUUUCCAGCCAACUCUGGAAUGCAUGAGGCUUUAGGGGAACAUCUAGAUACAAGCCUUACAGGAAGGAUAACUGGAUCAUGUGGUAGUUUUAUUUUUAGUUUUUGAAGGAACUUCUGUAGUGUUUUCCUUGGUGGCUGUAGGAAUUGACAUUCCUACCAUAUGUGUAUGACUUCCUUAUAACCCACCUCCUUACUAGCAUUUGUUACUUAUUAUAAUAGCCAUUCUAAAUGGGGUAAUUUUGACUUGCAUUUUUCUGAUGUCUAAUCAUACUGAGCAUGUUUUCAUGUAAUUA
ensembl:lncRNA